UGUUCUCGAAUCAAACAGAUUGUGCUUGUACAGCUGUUCAAAUGUUGGUGAAUUGAAGAUGAAAACGUUCUUGGGGAGAGAGGAACUGUAUGCACAAAGGAACCUGCUCAAUCCAAUGGAGUAAAAAACCAUUAGGGCAGCCAGGCCUAGAAUCAGAAUGCCUGGAGGCCAACAGCGGAUCAACACAAAUGCUGAGCAAAGGGCACAGUCGUGCAGAAGACAGAUCAGAAGAGGCACUGCUGUCCCACCACCGGGCACACUUCAGCACCACCAAGCGCGAGGCUCUCCUCCGCACACACUGCUCGGCUGGGCACUGCCACGUUAACAUUCCUUGGGUUUUCAUUUCGUGUGGCCCAAGCUGAACAUUGCCCCCUCUGCCCACCCCCCACCCACUUGUACAGAGUCUUCCUCCUGGCAAUGUACAAUUCAAUUGAUUAAAUAU